rfam:Erinaceus europaeus unplaced genomic scaffold scaffold00770, whole genome shotgun sequence
GGGGAGAUAGCAUAAUGGUUAUGCAAAGGCCUUUCAAGCCUGAGGUUCUGAGGUCCCAGGUUCAACCCCUAGUACUACCA